UACGAAGGGGGCUAGCGUUGUUCGGAUUUACUGGGCGUAAAGGGUGCGUAGGCGGAUUUUUAAGUCAGGGGUGAAAUCCCAAGGCUCAACCUUGGAACUGCCUUUGAUACUGGGGAUCUUGAGUCCGGGAGAGGUGAGUGGAACUGCGAGUGUAGAGGUGAAAUUCGUAGAUAUUCGCAAGAACACCAGUGGCGAAGGCGGCUCACUGGCCCGGAACUGACGCUGAGGCACGAAAGCGUGGGGAGCAGACAGG
rnacentral:rRNA from 1 species